UACAGAGGGUGCAAGCGUUAAUCGGAAUUACUGGGCGUAAAGCGUGCGUAGACGGUUAUUUAAGUCGGGUGUGAAAGCCCCGGGCUCAACCUGGGAAUUGCAUUCGAGACUGAAUAGCUAGGGUGCGGAAGAGGGUAGCGGAAUUUCCGGUGUAGCGGUGAAAUGCGUAGAUAUCGGAAGGAACACCAGUGGCGAAAGCGGCCACCUGGACUGCACCUGACGCUGACACGCGAAAGCUAGGGGAGCGAACGGG
rnacentral:rRNA from 1 species